rnacentral:rRNA from 1 species
UACGUAGGGUGCGAGCGUUGUCCGGAAUUAUUGGGCGUAAAGGGCUCGUAGGCGGUCUGUUGCGUCGGGAGUGAAAACUCAGGGCUUAACCCUGAGCCUGCUUCCGAUACGGGCAGACUAGAGGUAUGCAGGGGAGAACGGAAUUCCUGGUGUAGCGGUGAAAUGCGCAGAUAUCAGGAGGAACACCGGUGGCGAAGGCGGAUCUCUGGGCCUUACCUGACGCUGAGGCGCGAAAGCUAGGGGAGCGAACAGG